AGAGUUUGAUCCUGGCUCAGGACGAACGCUGGCGGCGUGCCUAACACAUGCAAGUCGAACGGAGAAUUUCAAGAUGUUUACAUGGCGAAACUCUUAGUGGCGGACGGGUGAGUAACGCGUGGGUAACCUACCCAUAAAGCCGGGACAACCCUUGGAAACGAGGGCUAAUACCGGAUAAUCUUAAGUUUUGGCAUCAGAAUUUAAGGAAAGAUGGCCUCUGAAUAUGCUAUCGAUUAUGGAUGGACCCGCGUCUGAUUAGCUAGUUGGUGGGGUAAAGGCCUACCAAGGCGACGAUCAGUAGCCGGCCUGAGAGGGUGAACGGCCACACUGGGACUGAGACACGGCCCAGACUCCUACGGGAGGCAGCAGUGGGGAAUCUUCCGCAAUGGACGAAAGUCUGACGGAGCAACGCCGCGUGUAUGAUGAAGGUCUUCGGAUUGUAAAGUACU
rnacentral:rRNA from 1 species